rnacentral:rRNA from 1 species
GAUGAACGCUAGCGGCAGGCUUAACACAUGCAAGUCGAGGGGUAUGCUUCUUCGGAGGCAGAGACCGGCGCACGGGUGCGUAACGCGUAUGCAAUCUACCUUUUACAGAGGGAUAGCCCAGAGAAAUUUGGAUUAAUACCUCAUAGUAUUAUAGAAUGGCAUCAUUUUAUAAUUAAAGUCACAACGGUAAAAGAUGAGCAUGCGUCCCAUUAGCUAGUGGUAAGGUAACGGCUUACCAAGGCUACGAUGGGUAGGGGUCCUGAGAGGGAGAUCCCCCACACUGGUACUGAGACACGGACCAGACUCCUACGGGAGGGCAGCAGUGAGGAAUAUUGGACAAUGGCGCAAGACCUGAUCCAGCCAUGCCGCGUGCAGGAUGACGGUCCUAUGGAUUGUAAACUGUCUUUUAUAACGAGAAGAAACCNCUCCUUCGUGAAGGAGCUUGACGGUAUCGUAAGAAUAAGGNUCGGCUAACUCCGUGCCAGCAGCC